CUCGUUGGUGACAUGGACAUACCUCAUCCCCAACUGAUGUAGGAUCUCAGCAGCCUUGAGAAGAAGGAGAUCUUCCUGCAAGGCGAGGACUCACUAGCUGCAAGACAUCUUUCCCAGGGAUGAUAUGUCACCACUUGAAGACUGAUCUCACAAAGAACAAAUCAAUUCCUAGAGCUUCUUUUUAACAGUUAGCAUUCCUGGUUCCCACAGCUCAUCCUUUUUAAUAAGGUGUAAACGUGUCAAGUCAUUCUGGCAUAUUCCCCAAAGUAUUUAACCACCUAAAGACAGAUGCAGACAUCUUCAAAACCUGCUGAAUUCAUUCAGGAGGCAGCAGUGCACAUAUUUUAUCCCCAAAACACCAUAGCAAAGGAAGUGUCAGAUUUUUCUUUCUAUAGGGGACUUGGUAGAUAGAGGUCACACAAAGAUCUAUUCCAGUGCCACAUGGUGAGGUUAUUUACUGUGUGUUAUCCAGGUGUUGAGUCUAGAUGAUCUAACGAUCUUAUGACCAGAAAACCUCUUCCUCUGCCUAACACUCUGGCCCCUCCCUUUGUCACUCAUCUAUCUGCACUCAGAAAAAGCUGGCAUGUGGCUUAUUUUAUUGAUGGCCUGCUGGGUGUCCUGGGGUCAUUGUUAAUGUACUGUAAUUCUUUAUACAGUCAUUACAGCACUAUUAGAGACCUCAGGUUCGCUCUUUAAAUGGUCAUUGAAAGAGUUUUGCACAGGUUAUUGUUGCUGGUGUGGCCUCCUGCACUGCUGAGCAAAUGCCAGGCAGCAAUUUCAGAAAGUGUUACAUGCCAUCAAACCUGUACACAGUAAGCUGGUGAAAUAUGUUUCAGAGGUAUAAUUCACCCAUCCACCAGAGCACAAUAAAACACCAGCUUUACUUCUGAUUUUAUUGAUUCUGUCUGCUCUCAUCUGGUGCCUGAACAUUUUAUCUGUUCACACUGUGGGGUUUUUUCUAAUGCAAUAAAAAGAGCAGACGGGAUUUUGCCCUUUAUUUAAAAUGUUUUGCCACAUUUAGAGGUAAAUAAGAGCCACUUUUUGUGUGGUAUAUUUUCAGUCUUAGCAGAGAACACAGCGCUUUUGACACUAGGCAGGUUCUACAGGAUCCAAUCCAUAGUUUAAUAAGAAUAGUCUCUUCCUAACACCUUAUUUUUCUUUUGCCCCUAAUGAAUUUGUCUCUCUACUUCAAAGCAAAACUAAGUCUGCAAGGAGAGGAAAGGAACCAAAAUGCAUUUCCUUACAGAGGCAGAUUGGAUUGGUUGUCACAAGUCCCUGUCCCCAAGAUAAUCUCACUUUACAUCAUUUGAUCCUUGAGGUCCCUUCCAACUUGUCAUUCUGUACUAUUCCGACUUCUGCACUUGCUAUGGAAGUGGAUGUGUGCCCUUAAUUCCUCUAGCUGACAGCUGUAUUCCCAAGGUGGCAGCACCAUCCAUUAAGUCUGGUUCCUUUUUCCUCCAUCUGCUCCCUAGCUUGCUGGGAAAGCCCCUCCACCUUCACUUGAAAGGUGGCAAAGACGGCGCCCAUCAGCUUGUGCCCUGCUUGGGUAGCUUCCAAAAGGUGGCAGCCCACAAAUUGAGCACUGAGUCUCAGGUACUGCUUCCUCUGGCUUAGUAAGACACAUCUCUGGGAGAGAGGCACCUGUGUUUCUUCAUGCAGAUUAAAGGAAAAAAGGAAGAGAAAAGAUCUGGCUCUCAGCCCCUACAAAAAUGGAGUUUAAGUCACUUACAUCAGGAAUUCGAUGAGCAGGGAUCCUCACUUCCAAGCAGAUACAUCAUUUCAGAAACAAGCUGACACUUUGAGCACCAAAGCAGAUCACGGGAACCACAAUAAAAAACAGAGUCCUGCUAAAGGGAAAGAAGCCUAGCAUGGGAAUGAUGAAGCAAGAGCAGUGGGACUAAAAUUGGCAAAGGUGGGAGGAGGGGGGAAAGUGCAAAGCAGAAGAAACUGGAAUAGACUUUAAGGGCCAUAAUGCUGUUUAAUGGGGCAGAAACUGAGAGACAAGCGAGUUACAAGCCAGUCUGAUUAGCAUCUUUUCAAGACAAUUUGUAAAAGGUGACAAGUUGUAGAUUAAAUGUGUUGAUC